CGCCAGGACAGCUCAGUCAGUAGAGCAUGAGACUCUCAGUUUAAAGGUUGUGGGUUUGAGCCCCACGUUGGGGG